rnacentral:tRNA from 1 species
GUGGUGGCUCAGUGGUAGAGUGCUUGCCUAGCAUGUGCAAGGCCCUGGGUUCGAUCCUCAGCACCACA